CAGCCGCCGCGGUAAUACGUAGGGUGCGAGCGUUAAUCGGAAUUACUGGGCGUAAAGCGUGCGCAGGCGGUUAUAUAAGACAGAUGUGAAAUCCCCGGGCUCAACCUGGGACCUGCAUUUGUGACUGUAUAGCUAGAGUACGGUAGAGGGGGAUGGAAUUCCGCGUGUAGCAGUGAAAUGCGUAGAUAUGCGGAGGAACACCGAUGGCGAAGGCAAUCCCCUGGACCUGUACUGACGCUCAUGCACGAAAGCGUGGGGAGCAAACAGGAUUAGAUACCCCGGUAGUCCCUGUCUCUUAUAU
rnacentral:rRNA from 1 species